rnacentral:rRNA from 1 species
CUGCGAAUGGCUCAUUAUAUAAGUUAUCGUUUAUUUGAUAGUACCUUACUACUUGGAUAACCGUGGUAAUUCUAGAGCUAAUACAUGCUAAAAAUCCCGACUUCGGAAGGGAUGUAUUUAUUAGAUUAAAAACCAAUGCCCUCUGGGCUCCUUGGUGAUUCAUGAUAACUCUUCGAAUCGCACGGCCUUGCGCCGGCGAUGGUUCAUUCAAAUUUCUUCCCUAUCAACUUUCGAUGUUUGGGUAUUGGCCAAACAUGGUUGCAACGGGUAACGGAGGGUUAGGGCUCGACCCCGGAGAAGGAGCCUGAGAAACGGCUACUACAUCCAAGGAAGGCAGCAGGCGCGCAAAUUACCCAAUCCCGAUUCGGGGAGGUAGUGACAAUAAAUACUGAUACAGGGCUCUUUUGGGUCUUGUAAUUGGAAUGAGUACAAUUUAAAUCUCUUAACGAGGAACAAUUGGAGGGCAAGUCUGGUGCCAGCAGCCGCGGUAAUUCCAGCUCCAAUAGCGUAUAUUAAAGUUGUUGUGGUUAAAAAGCUCGUAGUUGAACCUUGGGCCUGGCUGGCCGGUCCGCCUCACCGCGUGCACUGGUCCGGCCGGGCCUUUCCCUCUGUGGAACCCCAUGCCCUUCACUGGGCGUGGCGGGGAAACAGGACGUUUACUUUGAAAAAAUUAGAGUGCUCCAGGCAGGCCUAUGCUCGAAUACAUUAGCAUGGAAUAAUGAAAUAGGACGCGUGGUUCUAUUUUGUUGGUUUCUAGGACCGCCGUAAUGAUUAAUAGGGACAGUCGGGGGCAUCAGUAUUCAAUUGUCAGAGGUGAAAUUCUUGGAUUUAUUGAAGACUAACUACUGCGAAAGCAUUUGCCAAGGAUGUUUUCAUUAAUCAGGAACGAAAGUUAGGGGAUCGAAGACGAUCAGAUACCGUCGUAGUCUUAACCAUAAACUAUGCCGACUAGGGAUCGGACGAUGUUA